AACGAACGCUGGCGGCAGGCUUAACACAUGCAAGUCGAACGCCCCGCAAGGGGAGUGGCAGACGGGUGAGUACCGCGUGGGAACAUACCCUUUUCUACGGAAUAGCUCUGGGAAACUGGAAUUAAUACCGUAUACGCCCUACGGGGGAAAGAUUUAUCGGGGAAGGAUUGGCCCGCGUUGGAUUAGCUGGUUGGUGGGGUAAAGGCCUACCAAGGCGACGAUCCAUAGCUGGUCUGAGAGGAUGAUCAGCCACAUUGGGACUGAGACACGGCCCAAACUCCUACGGGAGGCAGCAGUGGGGAAUAUUGGACAAUGGGCGCAAGCCUGAUCCAGCCAUGCCGCGUGAGUGAUGAAGGCCUUAGGGUUGUAAAGCUCUUUAACCGAUGAAGAUAAUGACGGUAGUCGGAGAAGAAGCCCCGGCUAACUUCGUG
rnacentral:rRNA from 1 species